GUGCCAGCCGCCGCGGUAAUACGGAGGGUGCAAGCGUUAUCCGGAAUCACUGGGUUUAAAGGGUGCGUAGGCGGCUAUAUAAGUCAGAGGUGAAAGGCUACGGCUUAACUGUGGGAUUGCCUUUGAUACUGUAUAGCUGGAAUCAGGUUGAAGUUAGUGGAAUGCGGCAUGUAGCGGUGAAAUGCAUAGAUAUGUCGUAGAACACCGAUUGCGAAGGCAGCUAACUGGGCUUGAAUUGACGCUGAGGCACGAAAGCGUGGGGAUCGAACAGGAUUAGAUACCCCAGUAGUCC
rnacentral:rRNA from 1 species